UCCCCAUAGGCUCUUUUUGUGCAGCAUAGGGUGUGCCUUGCUUUCUGAUCAUUUGAAUAGCAAGUGUGAAUUUUAAUGCUUGUAUGCUGAGCCCCUAGGCAUGGGGCCACAGCCAGUUGCCUAAGACACUCAUGAAGCUAUGCCUAUGUUCCCACCUGGCCCAGGCUCCUGGCUACCUGUUGGGAUGCUGAGAACCUGUGGGGAAGUUUCCAUUUCAUUUUCACUUGGAUCCCAAACCUACAUUGUCGCAAUGGAGCAAAAAGUUAAUACAACGUUGAAUGCCUCCACUAAUUGUCUACCUUCUAUGAUGAGAGCUGUGCAAGGCAUCAAGGCUUUAGUUUCUGUGUAAGUUGAAUUCAGCUGACCAGACUAGAUAUAGAGAAGUAAAUGACCUUACUUGGAUUCCUCCAUGACCUCCCACAGCAAUGAUCAUCAAUAAGGUAGUUAUAAAUGUAUUAGACUGGAAUAGGUGAAUGGGAUUGUACCAUUUAUCUUUUGUGGUCAAAAUGUGAAAAAUGUCUCCCCUAAGCUGUUCCAUUUACUCCCAAAUCUCAGCAAAUAAGCAACUGUCAAAGUGCAGACGACCAGAGACUGGGUAAUUGCAGGCGACUGACUGACCAGUGUGGUGAUCAAAGUCUCACUCCUAAAUUCUGGAUAAUUUUAGGAACUCUUAGGCCUCCUUAGGGGAAGUGGGUACUAAGAAAUUCUGAAUUACCUGGGCUUUAGGGAAUUUCCUAGAACCGUGGCCAACAGUAAGAUGGUGCUACCCUGAUCUGUGCAUUCAGGACACUGAUUCAUCUUCACCAUUCUAGACCCGGAGAUUGGUCUACUUGCUUUACUGCACAGAUCCUGACCCCCUCUGCCCUAAAUUCCCCUAUCUGGAUUAGUUUUGAAAGCUCUAGGGUUAGUCUAGUCUUUCUGGGGAAUGUUGAGGGCUGUUGUGCCUCACAGUGGCAAUGUGGUUUAAUCAGCUAAAUUAAACCAAGCUAACAACUGUUUCCUGAGCACCCAUUAUGAGCAAGGCUAUAUGCACAUCUCUCACUCUUGUCAGAGACAAGUACAGAAAAAAGUGGAAAGAAAUGGGGACACAUCCUUGGAAAGGGUUGAAUUGUCAGUAUUAGAGUUUUUACUUAUUUAGCACAUGAUUUAUUUAGCACCUACUAUGUGUCAAGGACUUUCAAUUGUGAUUGCAUUGAACAACACUGCCAGGUGAGUGGUACUCUGUCUCUCUAUACAACUGGAUUUCAGACAGGUGAGGUGUCUUGCCUGCAUUCACAUGGCUAAUAUGUGGCAGAAUUGGAAUGUAAGGAGAUCUAACUCCAAAAUGGACUAUAGUAUAUUAUAAUGAUUCUCAACCUCCAUCAGACUCUGUCUAGGAAAUAAACUGUGAAGCUACACCUGAAACCACCAAACCCAUCUCAAACUCAAUGAUCUUUUACAUUUUACCUCUAUUUUUGUUGUUGUUGUAGCUUUUCUGGGGUUGUGCUGGUUAUACCAACCUUAUCUCAGCUACCUGAAGGAUUGUCGUGCUGGAGAAGACGUGUGGAGACCCACCUGACCAAAGCUCAACUUCAUGAACAUAAGAGCUGGAGGAACUGCCUCUCAGACUGUCCAGCUUGCUCAGAAAAGUGGCCUUCCUUUGGCUGGGAGAUGGGACACUAAGCAGAAGGCCAGAGAGGUACUGUUCAAAGAGUGAGCGGUCACCCUGUCCUAGCAUCCAGGCCAUCUUGUCCUGGGGCCCAAGCCUCCUGGCUCACCAUUCAGCACUCCUGAUGAAGAAAUUGAAGCCCAGAAAAAUUAAGUAACUUGUCCAAAUCCAAACAGAUGAGUUAAAAUCAUGAUGACUGUUUAGUGGCUUGAAGACAUUUUGUGUAACAUUUCAGCUUCAAUAAGAAGACGGGAGCUUGGUGCAAGGAUGUUUUACUGGGAGCCUACAGUGGAGCUCAGAAAGUCAUGUUCCGGCUGGACGCAGUGGCUUAUGCCUACAAUCCCAGCACUUUGGGAGGCCAAGGCAGGUGGAU
rnacentral:lncRNA from 1 species